rnacentral:rRNA from 1 species
AUGCUCCGCCACCCUCGUCCAGCGCGCCUUCUCUUUCCCCAUCGCCGCAUGCUGCCAACCUCCUGCGCUCAUGGCCGCGCCAUGGCCGCCUCCCUCUGCUGUCAGUCCAACCCCAUCUGUGGCAUGGACCGCUCGGCCUGCUCGUUGUUGUUGCUCCAUCACGACGGCCUCCCUCGACCCAUACUGGCCUCCGCGUUCGACUCCUUGCUAGAUUCGGCAGGUCGUCGUCUGCGCUGCCCGACAUGCCAGCUUCGUGUCCUGCUUGAGCCCGGGCCAGAUGCUGCAUGUCCAUGUCUCCGUCGGCUGCCUCUUCCUUUUGGCAUGCCCGAGCUCACCUCGAGUCUUCUUGCCGAGGCCUCCGCGGCGACCAGUGCCCCAGCGAUCAUCGCAUCUGCAAGCCCCGCUGCCUUCGGAUGCAGCCGGACCUUUUUGUCCCGUUAG